AGUGAACGCUGGCGGUAGGCCUAAUACAUGCAAGUCGAGCGACAGCACAGUAAGAGCUCGCCCUUACGGGUAGCGGGUGGCGGACGGGUGAGAAGUACAUAAGAAUCUACUUUUUCGGGGGGGAUAACGGAGGGACGCUGACGCUAACAGCGCAUAUGACCUACGGCAGAAAGCAGUGGAGCUAGACGCUUUGCCCGACACAUUGAGCUGGUUCCGUGCCGGAUUAGCUAGUUGGUAAGGUAACGGCCCACCAAGGCAACGAUGCGUAGCCGACCUGAGAGGGUGAUCAGCCACACUGGAACUGAGACACGGUCCAGACUCCUACGGGAGGCAGCAGUAGGGAAUCUUCCGCAAUGGGCGCAAGCCUGACCCAGCCAUACCGCGUGAGUGAUGAAGGCCUUCGGGUCGUAAAGCUCUUUUAUUGGGAAAGAACAGCUGUAUAUUAAUCUCUCGCUGCUCUGACGGUACCCAAACAGUAAGCCCCGGCUAACUUCGUG
rnacentral:rRNA from 1 species